AGCGGCGGACGGGUGAGUCAUAUCUGGGAAACUGCCUGAUGGAGGGGGAUAACUACUGGAAACGGUAGCCAAUACCGCAUACCAUCAGAUGUGCCCAGAUGGGAUUCGCUAGUAGGUGGGGUAACGGCUCACCUAGGAGACGAUGCCUAGCUGGUCUGAGAGGAUGACCAGCCACACUGGAACUGCGACACGGGCCAGACUCCUACGGGAGGCAGCAGUGGGGAAUAUUGCAAAAUGGGCGAAAGCCUGAUGCAGCCCUGCCGCGUGUGUGAAGAAGGCCUUCGGGUUGUAAAGCACUGUCAGCGGUGACGCGUUACCCGCAGAAAAAGCCCCGGCUAACUCCGUGCCAGCAGCCGCGGUAAUUC
rnacentral:rRNA from 1 species